GCCAGACUCCUACGGGAGGCAGCAGUGGGGAAUAUUGCACAAUGGGGGGAACCCUGAUGCAGCGACGCCGCGUGGGUGAAGGAGCACCUCGGUGCGUAAAGCCCUAUCGGCAGGGAAGAAAAGCGAACAGGUUCGCCUGGACGGUACCUGACUAAGAAGCCCCGGCUAACUACGUGCCAGCAGCCGCGGUAAUACGUAGGGGGCAAGCGUUAUCCGGAUUUACUGGGUGUAAAGGGAGCGCAGACGGUGAUGCAAGUCAGAAGUGAAAGCCCGCGGCUCAACUGCGGGACUGCUUUUGAAACUGUAUGACUGGAGUGCAGGAGAGGUAAGCGGAAUUCCUAGUGUAGCGGUGAAAUGCGUAGAUAUUAGGAGGAACACCAGUGGCGAAGGCGGCUUACUGGACUGUAACUGACGUUGAGGCUCGAAAGCGUGGGGAGCAAACAGGAUUAGAUACCCCGGUAC
rnacentral:rRNA from 1 species